AGUGAACGCUGGCGGUAGGCCUAACACAUGCAAGUCGAACGGCAGCACAGUAAGAGCUUGCUCUUACGGGUGGCGAGUGGCGGACGGGUGCUGAAUACAUCGGAAUCUACUUUUUCGUGGGGGAUAACGUAGGGAAACUUACGCUAAUACCGCAUACGACCUACGGGUGAAAGCAGGGGAUCUUCGGCCCUUGCGCGAUUGAAUGAGCCGAUGUCGGAUUAGCUAGUUGGCGGGGUAAAGGCCCACCAAGGCGACGAUCCGUAGCUGGUCUGAGAGGAUGAUCAGUCACACGGGAACUGAGACACGGUCCAGACUCCUAAGGGAGGCAGCAGUGGGGAAUAUUGGACAAUGGGCGCAAGCCUGAUCCAGCCAUACCGCGUGGGUGAAGAAGGCCUUCGGGUUGUAAAGCCCUUUUGUUGGGAAAGAAGAGCAGCAGGUUAAUACCCCGCUGUUCUGACGGUACCCAAAGAAUAAGCACCGGCUAACUUCGUG
rnacentral:rRNA from 1 species